rnacentral:rRNA from 1 species
UACGUAGGGAGCAAGCGUUGUCCGGAAUCAUUGGGCGUAAAGCGCGCGUAGGUGGCUUCGUAAGUCCGUUGUGAAAGUCAAAGGCUCAACCUUUGAAAGCCGAUGGAUACUGCGGAGCUAGAGUACGGAAGAGGCGAGUGGAAUUCCUGGUGUAGCGGUGGAAUGCGCAGAUAUCAGGAGGAACACCGAUGGCGAAGGCAGGUCUCUGGGCCAUUACUGACACUGAGAAGCGAAAGCAUGGGGAGCGAACAGG